rnacentral:rRNA from 1 species
AGCUAGUUGGUGGGGUAAGAGCCUACCAAGGCGGUGAUCGGUAGCUGGUCUGAGAGGAUGAUCAGCCAGACUGGGACUGAGAUACGGCCCAGACUCCUACGGGAGGCAGCAGUUAGGAAUUUUGGGCAAUGGGGGAAACCCUGACCCAGCAACGCCGCGUGGGUGAUGAAGGCCUUCGGGUCGUAAAGCCCUUUUCUGGGGGACGAUAAUGACGGUACCCCAGGAAUAGCCUCGGCUAACUACGUGCCAGCAGCCGCGGUAAAACGUAGGAGGCGAGCGUUGUCCGGAUUUACUGGGCGUAAAGAGCGCGUAGGCGGCUUCGCAAGUCAGGUGUGAAAUCUCCCGGCUUAACUGGGAGGGGUCAUUUGAUACUGUGGGGCUGGAGUGCAGUAGAGGGAGACGGAAUUCCGGGUGUAGUGGUGAAAUGCGUAGAUAUCCGGAGGAACACCAGUGGCGAAGGCGGUCUCCUGGGCUGUUACUGACGCUGAGGUGCGAAAGCGUGGGGAGCGAACUGAAUUAGAUACUCAGGUAGUCCACGCUGUAAACGAUGGACACUAGGUGUGGGGGGUAUCGACCCCCUCCGUGCCGUAGCCAACGCGAUAAGUGUCUCGCCUGGGGAGUACGGCCGCAAGGCUAAAACUCAAAGGAAUUGACGGGGGCCCGCACAAGCAGCGGAGCGUGUGGUUUAAUUCGACGCAACGCGCAGAACCUUACCAGGGCUUGACAUGUACAGGCAAAGGCCGGAAACGGUCUCCUCCCGCCAGGGAUCUGUACACAGGUGCUGCAUGGCUGUCGUCAGCUCGUGCCGUGAGGUGUUGGGUUAAGUCCCGCAACGAGCGCAACCCCUGUGCCUAGUUAAAUUCUCUAGGCAGACUGCCGAUACAAAAUCGGAGGAAGGUGGGGAUGACGUCAAGUCGGCACGGCCCUUACGUCCUGGGCUACACACACGCUACAAUGGGUGGUACAAAGGGCUGCUAAGCCGCGAGGCGGAGCGAAUCCCAUCAAAGCCAUCCUCAGUUCAGAUUGGGGGCUGCAACUCGCCCCCAUGAAGGCGGAGUUGCUAGUAACCGCAGGUCAGCACACUGCGGUGAAUAUGUUCCCGGGCCUUGUACACACCGCCCGUCACGUCAUGAAAGCUGGCAACACCUGAAGUCGCUGGGCUAACCCGCAAGGGAGGCAGGCGCCGAAGGUGGGGCUAGUGAUAGGGACGAAGUCGUAACAAGGUAGCCGUAGCGGAAGCUGCGGCUG